rnacentral:misc_RNA from 1 species
AUACGCAAAACCUUAGAGUGACAUUCAAGUAAUUCUCAGCAAACCGAACUCAUAUAUAUAUAUAUAUAUAUAUAUAUAUAUGGAUACAGAGACUAGAGAUAAUUACGGCGCUCCUCCACCAGUAGUCAGGAGUACUACUAUCGGAUAUAAUGAAGAGAAAGAGCCUUCCCUUGUUUCUCUUAUUGGAGGACUGGCAGAAAAAACUGGCAUGCAUGGACUGCCAAAUGUUCAAAGAUCCAGCAGUCAUUGUCGAAAAUUCUUUUGGUUAUUUAUAACAGUAUCAGGCUUAGGCUUGCUUAUCUGGCAAAUAGUGAUGGCAGUUCAGCAAUUCUAUUCGUAUCCUACUACUACUACAGAAAUAUCUCAAAAUACUCCAUCUCUUCAGUUUCCUGCAGUAACCAUUUGUAAUUUAAAUCCUGUUAGAGUACACGCUAUUCAUGAAGCCGGUGAGGAUAUUAGAUCACUCUUUAGAGGAAGAGAAUCAAAUGAAAAUGGGGAAGUGAACGAUAGGCCUCCGAAGUUUUUUAAUUGGGACACAGAAGAAGACGACAUAGAAGAUGAGGAUUUUACAAGGAGUACCAAAUUUAUUCAAUAUUUUGCUGCAUUGGAACCAAAGGAUCGAAAAGCAAUUGGCUCUAACAUAUCAUCUCUAUUAAUUUCAUGCACAUUUAACGGUCGUAAAUGUGGUCCAAAGAACUUUACUUACUUUAGCAACUAUUUGUAUGGUAAUUGUUUUACAUUCAAUGCUUUCUUAUCCAAAAAUUCAUCUAAACGUUUAGUUAGCAAUAAACCCGGACCACUUUACGGGCUAUCGAUGACACUUUUCAUAAAUCAGGGAGAAUAUGUUAAAGACGUGGCAGAAACAGCCGGAGCCAGAGUAAUUGUUCAUGAUCAAACAGAUAUGCCUUUUCCAGAAGAUAUGGGAAUAAGCACUGCUCCUGGAACAAUGUCAAGCAUUGGUAUUCGGCUUAUAAAACAUUUUAGAGAAGAUCCACCUCACGGAAAGUGCAAAAAUUUUACAUCUUCGGAAAUAAAGCUAAGAAAUGGUUUUCUACAAGAAUUGAAGAAUAUAUCGUAUAGUGAACAAGCUUGCAAGAAAACCUGUUAUCAACAAAACGUUAUAUUGAAAUGCGGUUGUGCAGAUCCUAUUUAUAAUUUUGAAGGCGAAGCUUUCGCUUUAGAAUCAGCUGCACAUAAAGUAGAAAUAGAACCUUGCAGACUUGAUAAUAAUACAGAAACAAUGUGCAAGAAUAAAAUUCAGACAGACUUUUCGAAUGGAAAUUUAAAUUGUCAGACAAAGUGUCCUCCGGCUUGUGUUGAAGACGAAUAUAACUUGGCUGCUAGCUACUCUGCAUGGCCGUCAAACGUUAAGAUUGUUAGUGUUCACUUUCAAAUUCGAUAGAGUCUAAUUUGUAAUUAAUUUGUUAUUAACUUUAUCAUUUUAAACUUCGUAGGGAGAUACUAUAGAUAUUCUUUUUAAUCGAAAUGAAGAAUUGUAUGAUCUAUUAACGAAUAAGCCUGUUGAAGCAAGGAAAAAUUUCGUAACUGAAAAUGUAUUAAAAGUUAACGUGUAUUUUUCCUCUCUGUCGUAUUCUCAAAUUACAACAGCAGCUUCUUAUGGGGUAAGUCAUAUAGUUACAAGAUAAUGUCAUUAAUCCUUUCGAUCAAUGUAAUUUUUCUAUAGGUGGUCAAUCUGUUAUCGGACUUGGGUGGUCAAGUUGGCUUAUGGCUAGGAUUCUCUGUAAUAACUCUGUUUGAAUUCUUCGAGUUAGCAGUCGAUGUUGGAUUUUUAUGCUGCUAUAAGUUCAAAUCAAAGUCACUACCAAAAGUUACUCCAUGAAUAAUCAAGCUAAAAUGAGGAGAAUGUCUAAGAAGAAAGAUGAUCGUGAAUAUCUUCUCACUGAGUUAGAAAACUGUUUUUACUAUCAAAAAAAAAAGAAUUUCAAAAAGAUAUUGAAUUUUGAUUGUUCAAAAGUUGAUUCAUUUACCAAAGAACAUUUAUGAAGCUACUAUUCUCAUUUAUACUGUUUACAGUCGUUUUUCUAUUUCAUUUUGUGCCAUAAUAUAUCCUGCCAUCAUAAAUAAAAUUAUUAAUAAUUUGCAGAUACGCCGAAACUAAUUUAUCGUAUGGAGCGAUUGUUAUUUAUAACACUAUCAUUAAAAUUUAACCAAUCGUUUUGAAUGGGCAUUGUAAUUGUUUGUAGCAAAGCUUUUAGUUUACGUUAUAAAAGUACUUGAACAAGUUUUUUCUAAGUAGAAUAAAGCUCCUCAUCAGCCUGAAUUGAAUAGGAGGAUUUUAAUAUUCAAUGCUAAUUCUGUGUAAUUUGUUAAGUUAUUGUUAUUAUAGCCUUGAAAAGGAAAGAUAGAGGGAAUCUUUUUUUGAAAUAUACUGAAAUAACAAUGAAAAUUAGUUUCGCAGAAAAGUAUUGUUAUAUCUAUUUUACGGAAUAUAUCAUAUUAAAAGGAUAAAAGUGUGGAUCCAACAUAUAUGGGUUAUUCACCCUUUGUCGUAAACCAGUUAAAGACGAAAUACGCAUUUCAUAUUUGAAGCAAUCGUUACAAUCGUAUAUAAAUACAAGCAAAAGGAGUGUAAAGUUCAGGAAAUAGAAAUAUACUGUAUUGAUUUUUUCGAUUUAUCCUCUUAAAUAGGGAAAUGUAAUAUUUUAAUUAUUAAAUUAGCAAAUAUAAGCACGUAGAUUUAAUGAUAUCAAUUCCUCCCCCACACCCUCUUCCUCCUCCU